rnacentral:rRNA from 1 species
GCGAAGAGCUGCGACCUGACGGUACCUUGAUCAAAAGCACCGGCUAACUACGUGCCAGCAGCCGCGGUAAUACGUACGGUGCGAGCGUUAAUCGGAAUUACUGGGCGUAAAGCGAGCGCAGGCGGUUCUGCAAGUCAGAUGUGAAAUCCCCGGGCUCAACCUGGGAACUGCGUUUGAAACUACAGAGCUAGAGUAUGGGAGAGGGAGGUAGAAUUCCACGUGUAGCAGUGAAAUGCGUAGAGAUGUGGAGGAAUACCAAUGGCGAAGGCAGCCUCCUGGCCUAAUACUGACGCUCAUGCUCGAAAGCGUGGGGAGCAAACAGGAUUAGAUACCCUGGUAGUCCACGCCCUAAACGAUGUCUACUAGUUGUUGGUGGAGUAAAAUCCAUUAGUAACGCAGCUAACGCGUGAAGUAGACCGCCUGGGGAGUACGGUCGCAAGAUUAAAACUCAAAGGAA